GGUUAAGCGACUAAGCGUACACGGUGGAUGCCCUGGCAGUCAGAGGCGAUGAAGGACGUGCUAAUCUGCGAUAAGCGUCGGUGAGGUGAUAUGAACCGUUAUAACCGGCGAUUUCCGAAUGGGGAAACCCAGUGUGAUUCGUCACACUAUCAUUAACUGAAUCCAUAGGUUAAUGAGGCGAACCGGGGGAACUGAAACAUCUAAGUACCCCGAGGAAAAGAAAUCAACCGAGAUUCCCCCAGUAGCGGCGAGCGAACGGGGAG
rnacentral:rRNA from 1 species